rnacentral:rRNA from 1 species
GGGAUUGCCUCAGUAACGGCGAGUGAAGCGGCAACAGCUCAAAUUUGAAAUCUGGCUCUUUCAGAGUCCGAAUUGUAAUUUGUAGAGGGUGCUUUGGCGUUGGCCGUGGUCUAAGUUCCUUGGAACAGGACGUCACAGAGGGUGAGAAUCCCGUACGUGGCCGCCGGUCUUCGCCGUGUAAAGCCCCUUCGACGAGUCGAGUUGUUUGGGAAUGCAGCUCUAAAUGGGAGAUAAAUUUCUUCUAAAGCUAAAUAUUGGCCAGAGACCGAUAGCGCACAAGUAGAGUGAUCGAAAGAUGAAAAGCACUUUGGAAAGAGAGUCAAAAAGCACGUGAAAUUGUUGAAAGGGAAGCGCUUGCAGCCAGACGUGCCCGCAGUUGCUCACCUAGGCUUUCGCCUGGGGCACUCUUCUGCGGGCAGGCCAGCAUCAGUUCGGGCGGUUGGAUAAAGGUCUCUAUCACGUAUCUUCCUUCGGGAAGACCUUAUAGGGGAGACGCAACACGGCCAGCCUGAACUGAGGACCGCGCAUUCGCUAGGAUGCUGGCGUAAUGGCUGUAAGCGGCCCGUCUUGAAACACGGACCAAGGAGUCUAACAUCUAUGCGAGUGUUUGGGUGUCAAGCCCGGACGCGCAAUGAAAGUGAACGGAGGUGGGAACCUUUCGGGGUGCACCAUCGACCGAUCCUGAAGUCUUCGGAUGGAUUUGAGUAAGAGCAUAGCUGUUGGGACCCGAAAGAUGGUGAACUAUGCCUGAAUAGGGUGAAGCCAGGGGAAACCCUGGUGGAGGCUCGCAGCGGUUCUGACGUGCAAAUCGAUCGUCAAAUUUGGGCAUAGGGCGAAAGACUAAUCGAAC